rnacentral:rRNA from 1 species
UACGAAGGGGGCGAGCGUUGUUCGGAUUUACUGGGCGUAAAGGGCGCGUAGGCGGCGGGUCAAGUCGAGUGUGAAAGCCCCGGGCUCAACCUGGGAAUUGCGCUCGAGACUGGUCUGCUUGAGUUCGGGAGAGGAGAGUGGAAUUCCCAGUGUAGAGAUGAAAUUCGUAGAUAUUGGGAAGAACACCGGUGGCGAAGGCGGCUCUCUGGUACGUGACUGACGCUGAGACGCGAAAGCGUGGGGAGCAAACAGG